AUUGAACGCUGGCGGCAGGCCUAACACAUGCAAGUCGAGCGAGCGGCGGACGGGUGAGUAAUGUCUGGGAAACUGCCUGAUGGAGGGGGAUAACUACUGGAAACGGUAGCUAAUACCGCAUACCAUCAGAUGUGCCCAGAUGGGAUUAGCUAGUAGGUGGGGUAACGGCUAACCUAGGCGACGAUCCCUAGCAGGUCUGAGAGGAUGACCAGCCACACUGGAAUGGAGACACGGUCCGGACUCCUACGUGAGGCAGCAUUGGUGAAUAUUGCACAAUAGGCGAAAGCCUGAUGCAGCCAUGCCGCGGUUGUGAAGAGGGCCUUCGGUUUGUAAAGCACUUUCAGCGGGGAGGCGUUACCCGCAGAAGAAGCACCGGCUAACUCCGUGCCAGCAGCCGCGGUAAUUC
rnacentral:rRNA from 1 species